GAGAACCUGGAGGCUCGUCACUACCCCGGGUCAAAUCCAUACUCUUCGUCUGAAAUUAGUUCCGUGCAGGCUGCAUCUUUAUGACUUAACAGCUGAGCGUCCAGGAAAAACCAGGUGGGCCCAGUACAGCAGGACAGGUCCAGCAGAAUGGGGGCCUCUGUCACAGCAUGGGACUUUGGGAACAGGAUUAUAUUCCUUGAGAAUACUUGCAGGUGAAGGUGUUACCCUGGUUCUAGGUCAGCGCUGUCCAGUAGAAAUAUAAUGUGAGCCCCAUAUGUAAUUUUAAAUUUUCUAGUAGCCACAUUUUAAUAAGUAAAAUGAAACAGGAGGAAUUACCCUUAAUAAUUUAUUUGACCCAAUAUAUCCAACAGAUUAUCAUUCCCACGUGUAAUCAAUAUUUUUAAAUUCUUAAUGAGACAUUUUACAUUCUUUUAUUCUUACUAAAUCUAAAUUUAGACACAGCCUGUCUUACUUCGGUUGCUACAUUUGCAUCAGAAAUAUUUGAUCUGUAUUUAGAUUUUUAUAAAAUCUUCAAUCGAAAAUGUAGGUUCACCUUCCAAACAUACUUAGACGUUUUCCAAUAAUUGACUCAAGUACCAGUUUUUAAAUUUAAAUUAGUUUAAAUUAAAUAAAAAUUAGUUCCUCCGUCUCACUAGCCAUGUUUCAAGUGGUCAGUAGCCGACGUGGCCGUGGUGUUGGCCAGCCCAGUCCUAGAGGGAUGGAGGAGCAAGGCAGGUCUUAGAGACACAGCCUCAGGCAUGAGCCGGGUACCAGUUCUUGAGGUAAGGCAGGAGCCGGUCCUCCGAGCACACAGUUAGAGUGGGAGUGAAGAUGCUGAUUCCGUGUGCUAAGCCGGAGCUCCAAGAAAUCCUCACGGCCUGUGGUCACCUGGGCCUGGACCUGCAGCCAUGAGUUGAUAAUCGUGGGAGCUGAGUGAUGGGUGAGAAUGAUGCUUCUGGUCCUGGGACCACACUUUGAGAACCACUGCUCUACUCUCUGGAGAAAAGUCUGUGUAUGCCAGUGAGAAGGGUGCUCUGCUUCUGAAGAAAGAAAGAGAAACGUGAAGAAUUUAGAAAAAGAUGGAAUGCUCAGGUAACUGAAGUCAUCCAGGGGAAGAAAUGCCGAUUUCAAAAUCCCUUCCUCGAGUCAAAAAUGAUGUUAUCAAAUAUCCACUUAAUAAGGAACUAAAAUAAUACCUUCUUAUAUCAAGGCUGAGCUUGGAGGCCUCAAGAACUGGCUUCUUAUCAACGCCAAAGAGGAGAUGGUUAGGGCAGAGAGUGAACGGAGGUAUAAAGGCGCCUCCAUCUGAUCACGUCUUGAAAUUAUAGGGUUGUUGGAAAAUAUUAUCAAGUCUUCCUGAGAACUGGCAAUAUUC
rnacentral:lncRNA from 1 species